GUUCUUUUUGCCAAUGAAAGUGCUCGCUAAAGAUAGAAAUAAAGAAAGCAUGCCGUUCUAGAAUCUUGUGCCUGGAACAAAGGCGCACACCUAGGCGCAUAAGGCGCUAUGGUUCGAGCCUGGUGAGCCUUGAGCCUGAGGCGUGCCUGAGGCGCGCCUUUAAUAACUAUGGCUGCCCCCAACUGUUUUUUACUAGUGUCAACACCUGAUAAUGGGAAGGAAAGACAAACAGAGACAUAGAAUAAUGCCGGAAUUUUGC
rnacentral:misc_RNA from 1 species